rnacentral:rRNA from 1 species
AUUGAACGCUGGCGGCAGGCCUAACACAUGCAAGUCGAGCGGAUGACGGGAGCUUGCUCCUUGAUUCAGCGGCGGACGGGUGAGUAAUGCCUAGGAAUCUGCCUGGUAGUGGGGGACAACGUUUCGAAAGGAACGCUAAUACCGCAUACGUCCUACGGGAGAAAGCAGGGGACCUUCGGGCCUUGCGCUAUCAGAUGAGCCUAGGUCGGAUUAGCUAGUAGGUGAGGUAAUGGCUCACCUAGGCGACGAUCCGUAACUGGUCUGAGAGGAUGAUCAGUCACACUGGAACUGAGACACGGGCCAGACUCCUACGGGAGGCAGCAGUGGGGAAUAUUGGACAAUGGGCGAAAGCCUGAUCCAGCCAUGCCGCGUGUGUGAAGAAGGUCUUCGGAUUGUAAAGCACUUUAAGUUGGGAGGAAGGGCAGUAAGUUAAUACCUUGCUGUUUUGACGUUACCGACAGAAUAAGCACCGGCUAACUCUGUGCCAGCAGCCGCAGUAACAC